rnacentral:rRNA from 1 species
CAGGCCUAACACAUGCAAGUCGAACGAAGGCUUCGGCCUUAGUGGCGCACGGGUGCGUAACGCGUGGGAAUCUGCCCCUUGGUUCGGAAUAACAGUUAGAAAUGACUGCUAAUACCGGAUGACGACGUAAGUCCAAAGAUUUAUCGCCCGAGGAUGAGCCCGCGUAGGAUUAGCUAGUCGGUGGGGUAAAGGCCUACCAAGGCGACGAUCCUUAGCUGGUCUGAGAGGAUGAUCAGCCACACUGGGACUGAGACACGGCCCAGACUCCUACGGGAGGCAGCAGUGGGGAAUAUUGGACAAUGGGCGCAAGCCUGAUCCAGCAAUGCCGCGUGAGUGAUGAAGGCCUUAGGGUUGUAAAGCUCUUUUACCCGGGAUGAUAAUGACAGUACCGGGAGAAUAAGCUCCGGCUAACUCCGUGCCAGCAGCCGCGGUAAU